CCUACGGGAGGCUGCAGUGAGGAAUAUUGGUCAAUGGACGCAAGUCUGAACCAGCCAUGCCGCGUGCAGGAUGACGGCUCUAUGAGUUGUAAACUGCUUUUGUACGGGGGUAAACCCCGAUACGUGUAUCGGGUUGAAGGUACCGUACGAAUAAGGAUCGGCUAAUUCCGUGCCAGCAGCCGCGGUAAUACGGAGGAGCCGAGCGUUAUCCGGAUUUAUUGGGUUUAAAGGGUGCGUAGGCGGAUGGUUAAGUUAGAGGUGAAAUGUCGGGGCUAACCGCCGGAACUGCCUCUAAUACUGUCUGACUAGAGUGUAGAUGCGGUAGGCGGAAUGUAUGGUGUAGCGGUGAAAUGCUUAGAGAUCAUACAGAACACCGAUUGCGAAGGCAGCUUACCAAACUAUAUCUGACGUUGAGGCACGAAAGCGUGGGUAGCAAACAGGAUUAGAUACCCGUGUAGUC
rnacentral:rRNA from 1 species